rnacentral:rRNA from 1 species
UACGGAGGGUGCAAGCGUUGUCCGGAAUCACUGGGCGUAAAGGGCGCGUAGGCGGCUCAUGAAGGCUGUGGUGAAAGUCCGGGGCUCAACCUCGGAUCGGCCGUGGCGACUCGUGGGCUGGAGCACUGUAGAGGCGGGUGGAAUUCCCGGUGUAGCGGUGAAAUGCGCAGAUAUCGGGAAGAACACCUAUGGCGAAGGCGGCAUCCUGGACCGACACUGACGCUGAGGCGCGAAAGCUAGGGUAGCAAACGGG